rnacentral:rRNA from 1 species
UACGGGGGGAGCAAGCGUUGUUCGGAUUUACUGGGCGUAAAGAGCGUGUAGGCGGCCAAGCAGGUCAGCUGUGAAAACUCGAGGCUCAACCUCGAGACGUCGGUUGAAACCGCUUGGCUAGAGUCCGGAAGAGGAGAGUGGAAUUCCCGGUGUAGCGGUGAAAUGCGCAGAUAUCAGGAGGAACACCAAUGGCGAAGGCAGCUCGCUGGGACGGUACUGACGCUGAGGUGCGAAAGCGUGGGGAGCGAACAGG